GACGAACGCUGGCGGCGUGCUUAACACAUGCAAGUCGAACGGAAAGGCCCUGCUUUUGUGGGGUGCUCGAGUGGCGAACGGGUGAGUAACACGUGAGUAACCUGCCCUUGACUUUGGGAUAACUUCAGGAAACUGGGGCUAAUACCGGAUAGGAGCUCCUGCUGCAUGGUGGGGGUUGGAAAGUUUCGGCGGUUGGGGAUGGACUCGCGGCUUAUCAGCUUGUUGGUGGGGUAGUGGCUUACCAAGGCUUUGACGGGUAGCCGGCCUGAGAGGGUGACCGGCCACAUUGGGACUGAGAUACGGCCCAGACUCCUACGGGAGGCAGCAGUGGGGAAUAUUGCACAAUGGGCGGAAGCCUGAUGCAGCAACGCCGCGUGCGGGAUGACGGCCUUCGGGUUGUAAACCGCUUUCGCCUGUGACGAAGCGUGAGUGACGGUAAUGGGUAAAGAAGCACCGGCUAACUACGUGCCAGCAGCCGCGGUGAUACGUAGGGUGCGAGCGUUGUCCGGAUUUAUUGGGCGUAAAGGGCUCGUAGGUGGUUGAUCGCGUCGGAAGUGUAAUCUUGGGGCUUAACCCUGAGCGUGCUUUCGAUACGGGUUGACUUGAGGAAGGUAGGAGAGAAUGGAAUUCCUGGUGGAGCGGUGGAAUGCGCAGAUAUCAGGAGGAACACCAGUGGCGAAGGCGGUUCUCUGGGCCUUUCCUGACGCUGAGGAGCGAAGGCGUGGGGAGCGAACAGGCUUAGAUACCCUGGUAGUCCACGCUGUAAACGGUGGGUACUAGGUGUGGGGUCCAUUCCACGGGUUCCGUGCCGUAGCUAACGCUUUAAGUACCCCGCCUGGGGAGUACGGCCGCAAGGCUAAAACUCAAAGGAAUUGACGGGGCCCCGCACAAGCGGCGGAGCAUGCGGAUUAAUUCGAUGCAACGCGUAGAACCUUACCUGGGUUUGACAUGGAUCGGGAGUGCUCAGAGAUGGGUGUGCCUCUUUUGGGGUCGGUUCACAGGUGGUGCAUGGCUGUCGUCAGCUCGUGUCGUGAGAUGUUGGGUUAAGUCCCGCAACGAGCGCAACCCUUGUUCACUGUUGCCAGCACGUUAUGGUGGGGACUCAGUGGAGACCGCCGGGGUCAACUCGGAGGAAGGUGGGGAUGACGUCAAGUCAUCAUGCCCCUUAUGUCCAGGGCUUCACGCAUGCUACAAUGGCUGGUACAGAGAGUGGCGAGCCUGUGAGGGUGAGCGAAUCUCGGAAAGCCGGUCUCAGUUCGGAUUGGGGUCUGCAACUCGACCUCAUGAAGUCGGAGUCGCUAGUAAUCGCAGAUCAGCAACGCUGCGGUGAAUACGUUCCCGGG
rnacentral:rRNA from 1 species